AGCCAUACAUGCUGCGUAAAAUGUCCAUUGCUUGAGGAUGAUCAGUAUUUGACUAAUGGGAUGGGAAGAACUACUGGACUUCUGGGAUGGGAUGACGUGACCGAACUACUGGGAUGUUCUUGAAAUGACUACUGGGAUGUUAUAAGUUGUACUGUUGAACCUGCUGUUGGGCCUGCUAUCCCACCUACAAUCUCUGAUGUCACACCAACUGCCACUCCUCCAAACCCCAUGGAGGAACAAGCAGCAGCUGUGGUACCAGUGAGUCAGCUGAUACAGACAAUACACAUCAUUCCACAGUUUUUUUCUCAGGAUGUCCGGCAGAUCCUUACAGGCUUACAUGAUGGCAAGCAAAUUGUUGAGGGCCUUGAUGAGGAUAAUGUCAUCACAACUAGCCAGAGACGUCUCCUCGUCCGUAUCUUGGUGUCGUACCUCAUUGAGAAGUUUGGAGAGAAGAAAUAUGGUACACCACAGGACGGAGCCACCGGCCAGCCAUUGGAUUCCUGGAAGAAAGGCUGCUGA
rnacentral:lncRNA from 1 species